rnacentral:lncRNA from 1 species
GGAGGAAGGAGGAGAAUGAAGGUAAAGCCAGCUGCUGCACCAGAGGCUGGCUUCAGUGGAGCUGCCAGCCCGUAAGAGGCAGGGUCUCCAAGCCCAGCUGGAGGCGGUGGUCAGAGUGUGCAGGCCCAGGCAGGCCUGCGCAGAGCAACAGAGCACUUGGCCUUGAAGGGACCAUCUGAUGAGGCUUGUAGCUUGUGGUGAGGAGGCAGGUUAGGGCCCGCGUGGCCUCCCCGGAGCAGAGGAGCCGCAGGGCGGCCGACAGAAGCUCCUCUGGAAACGGAAUCCAUCCAGCCUGGUUCUGAACCCAAAACAGUCUCCCUCCCUUGGGACAGGAGGAGCAUGGCGGCCCCUCUACAUGACGCAGACUCCUAGACCAAGGCAAGGCUCCUCCUAUGCAUGCAGCUCCCAGCGUCUCCGCCCAUGGGGGUAGGAGAGGCCUUGGGGCUUCUCUGGAAACUACCAGAGUGAGCUGGGUGUCAAGGGCUAAGGAGGGAGGAGGCCUCUGGGCAGGAAGCACGGGACUCCUGGUGCCCAGCCACACCCAGGCAGGCGGCCCUCGUGCCUGGCUGCUGCCCAGACUCUACCAAAGGCCAGCCCUUCCCUAGCAGUGUGGUUUAUUUUUUUCUUUGAAUCACCAAUAACAGGGCAGCCUUCUGCAGAGGCUUCCUGAAGCCCACCUUUACAUCUCCAAGGCCAAAGUCCAAACUCCUUGGCCUGGCAGCCAGGUCCCUUACCACCUGGGCCUGCCUGGCUCUGUGAAACCGAGCCCCUGCAGCUCCUCUGCCUCCCCUCGCCUUCCCUUCGUGCUGGCUGGUCUCUGCACCGGGAAGUGCACUUGCUUCCACACCUCCAGGCCCAGUGGUUCCAGAACUUCAGUAAAUACAAGGCUCCUUCAAAGAGAAAAGGCUGAUACAGCCCAAGCCUAUCAAGCCAAGCCCGGCACUUGUGGAGUCCCCGCCAGGACUUGAACGCCAUCUCGUCCUCCAAACUGGGCUUGGCAUUAUUAUUAGCUCCAUUCUGCAGCUGGGGUUUCUGAAGCCAAAGCCAAAGAGCUGCUCACAGCUGCAUCCCGAGGAUGACAAGUCCAGUCCCCUCAGCUUCCUGCCUGAGAAAGCGCAACACUGUCAGGAGAAUUGACUGUUUGCUCGAGCCAAAACUUGGUGAUGGGAGAUGGGCCCUGAACCCCGUCUUACAGCAGAGAGAGCCAGUCUCCACCCCUCCAGGACGGAAUCUGUUGUGAAGCGGGUCGUCGGUAAGAUGGUCCUUCUGAAUUGGUCUAAAUGGCGUUGGUAACGAGGGGCCUGUGUUGGAUUCAGGCUGCCUUCACAGGCACGGCGGUCAGACUCAAGACAAACCUGAGUACAAGCGUGGUGGACAGAUCCCCGCUCCCCUGCACCAGAGGCUUCAACCUUAAGGUUGCUGCCACCUCUUUCUCAACAGCACGUAUCUCCCAAGUCCCAGGGCACACCCCGGCCUCCCCACUGCGUGCAAGGACCUUGGGCGCCGGGAGCAGGAGCUCUGCAACCAGAAAUCUCAGCUUUGGGCCGUGCAUGGAGAGGCUGGGUGAUGAACUGGGUCAAGGAUGGGCCCCCAGCGCUGGCGCACAGUUCCUCCACCCCUGCCCCUUCCAGAAGCCUGUCUCUGCCUGGACGUCUGCAGGCCAAGGAACCCAGCGCUUACCCCCUCCCUGUGCUACACAGACCAGUCAGGGGUCCCGUGGGUUCCUGCUGUGACAGGCCCAUGCAGGUCCUCUUGCACCCCAGCAGUUUUACAGAGGAAACAACAUGCAGA